UAGCAUUUCUCGUAUUUUGGAGCUGAAUCACGUGAUUCUAGACGACGCGCAUUGCCAUUGUUACAUCCGGGGGCACGACCGUGCCCUUGGAGCGACGAUGCGUUAGGGUCAUUGACAAUUUCAGCUCGGGGAGUCGAUCGGGAGUCGAUGAGCAGCCUCCACAGAGUACUUUUGGCUGCAUGCAAGAAUGUCUCGAGCCUGUGGAUGGAUCAAUCCGGGCACGAGAAAAAUGGUUUGAUGCUGUGAGCCGGGCAGUCACAGGACAUCAUUCUGAGUUCUUGUUUCUCUUCUUGAGUUCUUAAGAAUCAAAACAGGCGGUGCUCCUGAAGAAGCUCUUGAAGCUCGAGUUCAUUAUGCUCUUCGAGUACCUCCAAAUUUAGAGAUUGUUGGAGCUGCCAUGAAACCAGUUGGCAGGCAUGCUAUGUUUUACUUUGCAGCGGCUGUCUCCGGCUUCUACGUCCCCUGGAACUCCAUGGUAAGAACUUCUCGUCUUCUCUUGUUUUAUUUUCGGUGGAAAUCUCAAAAAUAAUCUUCUCUAUCCCGAUGGAGCACAAGAUCCCGUCAAAACUAUCUCACUUGACUGGGGGUUUUGGUAAAUUUAUAUGGAAUAAUAAACAGUGUAGAUUAUACCUA